UACAGAGGUCUCAAGCGUUGUUCGGAUUCAUUGGGCGUAAAGGGUGCGUAGGUGGCGCCGUAAGUCGGGUGUGAAAUUUCGGAGCUUAACUCCGAAACUGCAUUCGAUACUGCGGUGCUUGAGGACUGGAGAGGAGACUGGAAUUUACGGUGUAGCGGUGAAAUGCGUAGAUAUCGUAAGGAAGACCAGCGGCGAAGGCGGCAUCCUGGCCCUGUCCUGACGCUGAGGCGCGAGAGCGUGGGGAGCAAACCGG
rnacentral:rRNA from 1 species